rnacentral:rRNA from 1 species
AUGGCUCAGGAUGAACGCUAGCUACAGGCUUAACACAUGCAAGUCGAGGGGCAGCAUAAUCGAAGCUUGCUUUGAUUGAUGGCGACCGGCGCGACGGGUGAGUAACGCGUAUCCAACCUUCCCUAUAGUAGAGAAUAGCCCGGCGAAAGUCGGAUUAAUGCUCUAUGUUGUAUUUAGAGGACAUCUGAAGAAUACCAAAGGUUUACCGCUAUAGGAUGGGGAUGCGUCUGAUUAGGUAGUAGGCGGGGUAACGGCCCACCUAGCCGACGAUCAGUAGGGGUUCUGAGAGGAAGGUCCCCCACAUUGGAACUGAGACACGGUCCAAACUCCUACGGGAGGCAGCAGUGAGGAAUAUUGGUCAAUGGACGGAAGUCUGAACCAGCCAAAAGUAGCGUGCAGGAUGACGGCCCUAUGGGUUGUAAACUGCUUUUAUAUAGGGAUAAAGUCGGGGACGUGUCCCCGUUUGUAGGUACUAUAUGAAUAAGGACCGGCUAAUUCCGUGCCAGCCGCCGC